GCGCCCAUAGCUCAGGCGGAUAGAGCGUCAGUUUGCGGAACUGAAGGCCAGAGGUUCGAGUCCUCUUGGGCGCACCA
rnacentral:tRNA from 1 species